CUACUUACCUGGCAGGGGAGAUACCAUGAUUAUGAAGGUGGUUUUCCUGGGGCGAGGCUUAUCCAGUUGCACUCUAGAUGUGCUGAUCCCUGUGAUUUCCCCAGACGUGGCAAACUGGACUGCAUCAUUUGUGUUAGUGGGGGACUGUGUUUGUGCUUUCCCUUG
ensembl:snRNA U1 U1 spliceosomal RNA